UUGCAAUGAUGACUUGAGAAUCUGUCAAUCCCCUGAGUGAUCGCUGACGACUCCAUGAAUUCUGAGCAA